rnacentral:rRNA from 1 species
CGUCAAAUCAUCAUGCCCCUUAUGACCUGGGCUACACACGUGCUACAAUGGUUGGUACAACGGGACGCUACCUCGCGAGAGGAUGCCAAUCUCUGAAAACCAAUCUCAGUUCGGAUUGUAGGCUGCAACUCGCCUACAUGAAGUCGGAAUCGCUAGUAAUCGCGGAUCAGCAUGCCGCGGUGAAUACGUUCCCGGGCCUU